rnacentral:ncRNA from 2 species
GCUGCCGAGGGGUGCUGCAGCGGACGCCGUCCGCCACGCUCGGUACGCGAAUCCGUUCAAGGGCGCCCUUUCCGC